rnacentral:sRNA from 1 species
UAUUUAUAUUUUAUAGUUUACAAUUGUUAUUAAGUAAGAUACCGUCAAACACGUCCCACUCAAAAAUUAUUUUAUUAAUGUUGAUCUUAUUUAUGAUAUGAUUUUGAAUCAUCCCCUAAACAUGUUAGCUUU